rnacentral:rRNA from 1 species
UACGAAGGGGGCUAGCGUUGCUCGGAAUCACUGGGCGUAAAGCGCACGUAGGCGGGUCUUUAAGUCAGGGGUGAAAUCCUGGAGCUCAACUCCAGAACUGCCUUUGAUACUGAGGAUCUCGAGUCCGGGAGAGGUGAGUGGAACUCCGAGUGUAGAGGUGAAAUUCGUAGAUAUUCGGAAGAAACACCAGUGGCGAAGGCGGCUCACUGGCCCGGUACUGACGCUGAGGUGCGAAAGCGUGGGGAGCAAACAGG